UACGGGGGAGCAAGCGUUGUUCGGAUUACUGGCGUAAAGGGCGCGUAGGCGGCCAGCACAAGUCAGUUGUGAAAUCUCCGAGCUUAACUCGGAACGGUCAACUGAUACUGUGCGGCUAGAGUGCGGAAGGGGCAACUGGAAUUCUUGGUGUAGCGGUGAAAUGCGUAGAUAUCAAGAGGAACACCUGCGGCGAAGGCGGGUUGCUGGGCCGACACUGACGCUGAUGCGCGAAAGCGUGGGGAGCGAACAGG
rnacentral:rRNA from 1 species